UAAUGCAAGUCGAACGAGCUCUCCCAAAUUGAUUUUAUGCUUGCAUAAAUGAUUUUUGGAUUCGGAGCGAGUGGCGAACUGGUGAGUAACACGUGGGUAACCUGCCCCGAAGCGGGGGAUAACAUUUGGAAACAAGUGCUAAUACCGCAUAAUUAGUUGGAACCGCAUGGUUCCAACUUGAAAGAUGGCUCUGCUAUCACUUUGGGAUGGACCCGCGCCGUAUUAGUUAGUUGGUGAGAUAAAAGCCCACCAAGACGAUGAUACGUAGCCGACCUGAGAGGGUAAUCGGCCACAUUGGGACUGAGACACGGCCCAGACUCCUACGGGAGGCAGCAGUAGGGAAUCUUCCACAAUGGACGAAAGUCUGAUGGAGCAACGCCGCGUGAGUGAUGAAGGUUUUCGGAUCGUAAAACUCUGUUGUUAAAGAAGAACAAGUGUUAGAGUAACUGUUAACACUUUGACGGUAUUUAACCAGAAAGCCACGGCUAACUACGUGCCAGCAGCCGCGGUAAUACGUAGGUGGCAAGCGUUGUCCGGAUUUAUUGGGCGUAAAGCGAGCGCAGGCGGUUUUGUAAGUCUGCUGUGAAAGCCCUCAGCUCAACUGAGGAAGUGCAGUGGAAACUACAAAACUUGAGUACAGAAGAGGAAAGUGGAACUCCAUGUGUAGCGGUGAAAUGCGUAGAUAUAUGGAAGAACACCAGUGGCGAAGGCGGCUUUCUGGUCUGUUACUGACGCUGAGGCUCGAAAGCAUGGGUAGCGAACAGGAUUAGAUACCCUGGUAGUCCAUGCCGUAAACGAUGAAUACUAGGUGUUGGAGGGUUUCCGCCCUUCAGUGCCGCAGCUAACGCAUUAAGUAUUCCGCCUGGGGAGUACGACCGCAAGGUUGAAACUCAAAGGAAUUGACGGGGGCCCGCACAAGUGGUGGAGCAUGUGGUUUAAUUCGAUGCUACGCGAAGACCUUACCAGCUCUUGACAUCUUCUGCCAACCCAAG
rnacentral:rRNA from 2 species